rnacentral:rRNA from 1 species
UACAGAGGUCCCAAGCGUUGUUCGGAUUCACUGGGCGUAAAGGGUGCGUAGGCGGUCGGGUAAGGCUGAUGUGAAAUCUCACAGCUUAACUGUGAAACUGCAUUGGAUACUAUCCGGCUAGAGGAAUGGAGGGGAGACUGGAAUACUUGGUGUAGCAGUGAAAUGCGUAGAUAUCGAGAGGAACACCAGUGGCGAAGGCGAGUCCCUGGACAGGUCCUGACGCUGAGGCACGAAAGCUAGGGGAGCAAACAGG